GCGGGUCCCUGGCUAAGGCUCCUCCCCGACGAACCCCAUUCCUGCUUUCCCGCUCAAAUGUUGCAUUUUCUAAGACCUCCCUGGCCCGCCAUACGCCGAUCCUGAACCUACGAAAACCCAAGACUGCGGGCACGGUGGCUCAUGCCUGUAAUCCCAGCACUUUGGGAGGCCGAGGCGGGCAGAUCACGAGGUCAAGAAGUCGAGACCAGCCUUGCUAACAUGGCGAAACCCUGACUCUACUGAAAAUACAAAAAUUAGCUGGGCGUGAUGGCGUGCGCGCCUGUAGUCCCAGCUGCUCGGGAGGCUGAGGUAGGAGAAUCGCUUCAAUCCGGGAGGUGGAGGUUGCGGUAAGCAGAGAUUGCGCCACUGCACUCUAGCCUGGCGACAGAGACUCCUUCAAAAACAACAACAACAACAACAACAACAACAAAACAAAACCUCCCAAGACCCUAGUGGGCAGACACACAGCCAGCCAGACAUGGAGAGGAGCACAUUAGCAGAAGAAGACGCAAGUGGCUGGUCCUCGAGAGGACGUUGAGAGGAGCAUGCCAGCAGAAGAGCACACAACGACAGGCACCGACACACCACCGGCAGGCCAUGCACCAGCAGAAUGAUGCGGAGUUUGACGGGGCAGUCAGAGAAGAGCCUGGGCCGCCAAGGGGCCCGACUCCAGGGGAAAACCAUCUCCCUUCUGGCUCCCCCAUCUGCUGAGAGCUACUUCUACUCAAUAAAACCUUGCACUCAUUCUCCAAGCCCACGUGUAAUCCGAUUCUUCAGUGUCACCUCCCAAAUGUGGAAAUGCAUUGUCUUUCUUCUUUCCUAGACCAGUGGUCCUCAAACUUGAGCAGCACAAAUGUGGAGGAAAAAUGAAGGCAAAGCAAAAUAACAGGCAAGUCUGAAAACAAAAGUGUUGCCAGUCACGCUAAGCCUCAGGCACGCAUUCUGAAUGAAGCUAAAGUUUAAAGUCCCCUCUGAUAGAUUUGUGACUUAAAUGUCCACACUAGCAAGUGUGUUUCUCACAUGGAGAAGUAGCACGAUUUUAUGUCAGGAAAGGGAUGAGAACAUGCUUCUUGAACACAUACAAUGCUGAAGACAUUUCCUGGAAAACCAUUGGCCUUUGCUUAGGACAGUUGCAUCACACAGAGAUGUUUGUGGUUCAGAUUUAUAAGAAACAUGGGAACUGAAGCCAAAGCACUACUUUUGCUCAGUAUAACCAGGUGCCAGAUCUAAAGUGUUAGGCAGGUUCCUAUAUGUAUGUUAGAAAAAAGUUGCCCAAGUUUUGGACAAUUCCUUUUCCAUCUCUCUUACAAGUCAACAAAUCGAAGCAAUAAACUAUUCUCUGAAGAAAACAAAUUUAUUUGGUUGAUUCAAACUUUUAAUGAGACUAUUACUCCCCUGUGUGCCUUUCCUUUCUCUGGUUCUAGAAAUACAUCUAGAAAGGGGGAAAAUGUUAAUAUAUUUUCUACUGACUUUAUAUCACAAAUGCUUAGCUUAGAGGGUGGACUCUGAGGAACAGUGUCCUUUCCAAAUAUUAUAAAACUUUGUGUUCAUUCUGGAAAAACAAACAAAAUUAAUCACAAUGAUUUCCUGCUUUGGAGCAAUGAGAAAUGGGAGGGAAACUUCACCUUUUCAUAGCUUUUGAUGUUUGCACCAUGUGAAUUACCCACCCCCAAAUUUAAAAUACGAAUUUUUGAAAAAGUGUUUACCUCUGAGAAGAGAAACUAGUAGUGAAGAAUGAGGAGCUGUAGAUUUUUAACGAUUCUGAUGUAUUUGCAUUUUUCCCAAUGUUCAUGAAUAAAUAAAUGUGCAUUCAUAAUUAAAAAGAAUAAACAACCUGGAAAAAACAAAAAAAGCUCUGCGUUCACUGAUCUCUAAAUAAGAAAAGAUAAGACUUGUAGUGUGGCCUUGUACUUGUACAUCUUUUCCAUGUGCCAAAGAGCUACCCCAUGGUCAAGCCAAGUGGUGAUUAUGUAGCUUUCUCUGAACAGACAUAAUAGGGCUACACAUUCACUGUGAAAAAGCUGCAGACAGAUGACACCAGUCAACAGAACACCCUACACAGAAACUGUAAAACCAUUUUAAC
rnacentral:lncRNA from 10 species